CGCUUCUAAAAUAUAAAUUUAAAAAUUAUUCGAAUAAACAUAAUUUCGGUUUUAAACGGAAAAAAAUUCGAAAGUGCUUUUUUCGAAUACGAACUUUGCAGUUAACUUGGAACGAAAGUCGAAGAAUACAAUGAAUAUAUUUGAAAAAAUGAAAGGAGCUGGAGAUUUACCAGCAAUGACAAUGCCGAACGAGUUUGCUUCGUUGCAUCCAGAUCAUAUUUUGUUGGAAAAUUUUCAAAAUAAUGUAAAAGAAUU